GUUGCUUCUCAGCCCCUUGGCUAAGAUCAAGCACGGGUACCUAUUCUUAUCAGUUUAACAUCUGAUACAUCCUCUAUCCAAUGACAACAUAUUAAAUGGAUUUUUGGAGCAGAGAGUUGGAAUAGGAGUUGCUCCGCCCACACCAAUGCAUCCACCUGGUACUGUGGUACCUUUGGAAAUGGUGCACCCCUA